rnacentral:rRNA from 1 species
UCCUACGGGAGGCAGCAGUAAGGAAUAUUGGUCAAUGGGCGGAAGCCUGAACCAGCCAUGCCGCGUGCAGGAUGACUGCCCUAUGGGUUGUAAACUGCUUUUGUCCAGGAAUAAACCUAGAUACGUG